GUGGAAGAUGUAGUCGUCCCCUUCACUGGGCGGGCAGGCCCAGAUGUGACCUGUUGUGUAGCUGAGGAACACACACGAGGUAGCCGAUGAGGAUCUCAUGGUAGACUGCUGUUCUCAGACAGCGAGGCCGGAAAAAGUGUACGCUGUCCAGGUAAGAGAUGUACACCCGCCUGGAAGAGAGGAAGCACAGUGGAAUGAAUUUGAACAACCAGUUAAAAAUUUUAAUUAGACUAAAUGUAAAAUAAAAACAUGAAGCAAUGUUCUCACCUCUGGUUGGGCUGAGGACAGUCGGAUCCGUACUCCUGAACGUGCAUACCGAAGAAACAAACGUCUGCUCCGUCUAUGUCCUCAAAGGCAAACAGGGCUUUUGUCCUGUAGGGAAAAGACUCUGCCAUCUCCCCGUUGUCCACGAACCUGGAAACAGCAGGAGUUUGUCAAUUUUCCUAACAUUAAAUACAAUAGUAAUAGUAAAAAUAAAACAAAUCAGUAUUAUUUUCAUCAUCAAAAUUCAUAACUACCUGUAAAACUAUAGGUAACAUCAAAAUUGUUUUAUAAAAAAUAUUUAUCUGAUGAAAAAGUGAAAGCUCCUGAAUUUUGCUUGUAUUUUCCUGUAUUUCAGUGUACGGUAACUGGAUUUAAUAUGAGCGGUAAACAUUAAAAAGGAAAUGAUAUCAAACUACCUGGAACUAUUUUCGUCAACAAUCAAGUUCCAAAUUCAGUGUAGGACUCAGCAUGAUUUGAUCUUGAUCCUUGUGUGUGUGUGUGAUGUAUGUGCAUGUGUUGGGACACUGGGAGGGUUGAAGGGUGUAUGUAUAUCUGUGCGUUGCGGUAUGGUUGUCUGUAUGUUUCUGUGUUUGUAUGAGCUGUGAAAACAAAUUUCCUGCGGGACAAUACAGAAUCUAUCCAUCUUAGAGAGUGACCCAGAAAGUCCCAGUUCUCAUCCUCUAGCCUCUCCCCUAACUAAUGCAGCACAAUUAAAUACAAAAUAAUUCAAUUUUUUCCCAAAAUCGAGAGCUGGCAAUUUUCUCAGUGAGUUAACAAUGGUGUCAGACAGGUUCCUUAACAGCGUCCGCUCACACUGUGCAGAAACGGUUGCCAACUAAACAAGUUACAUAACCGAGAAAAUGUUUAAUUUUAUUCUGAAUAUUAACAUCUAAUUUUCUCUUCCAACAGUUUUUUGUAUAGGAAAAUAAAAAGAAAUGCUGCAAUAAAGAUCUGCACACACUUCCAAACUUAAUCACAACUGUUCAAUCUGACUGAAUCACAAUGUGAUAGUUGAUGUUUCAUCCUAAAUCUGUUGCAACGUUUCCCUUUGAUUGAUGUUAAAUCUGUUUGUUUAUCUAUCAAAACCACACCCCGCUGUGAGAAACCAGACAAGCAUCUCUGCAUGUGAGACACUUGUUUUACGUCAGAGCUGAUCUUGUGUCUUGUACCUGGACUUCAUGCCCGGUUUGACCUCCACCACUUUAUCCGACACGUGCACAACGCGGAUGAAGACCUCGCCCGACUCCGGAUGACUCUGCCGCUUCAGGAAGUCGUUCACUCUCGUCUCCAGGAAACUACCCAACUUCGUCUGGGGCAACCCUGUGUGGUGGGAGAGCCAGGGAGGAGACACUUUAGUUAUAAACUGGUUGGUUCAAAUGAUAAAAAGCAGGCAGAGAGAGAGAGAACGAGUGAAAUAAUGAAUACAAAAGUGAAAAAAGAUAAACAAGAACACAAACGAUGUCAAACUCAAUGAGGAGAAGACCAGUACAGAAACAGCACAUGUAUUACUAAGUCAUGUCAAUUAAUAAAAUGAGAGUGUGGUUUUAAGUGGUGUCAGGAGGGUGUAAAUGGUUUUAAAGAAGCACAGGAUCUGUGCUGCACUGCUGAGGGGGGGUGUACGUACAGAGAAAGAGAGGAUGAAGAAAAAGAAGAAACUGGGAUAAUGCAGACAGUAAAAAUCAUUCCAAGUCUGAAGCAUU